CACGCCGCGGGGGAAGCCGGUGCAACUCCGGCACUGACCCGCAACGGUGAAAGUCCGACUGCCCGUGGCGUG
rnacentral:ncRNA from 2 species